GCUUGCAUCUUGAUUUAAUUUUGAACGAGUGGCGGACGGGUGAGUAACACGUGGGUAACCUGCCCUUAAGUGGGGGAUAACAUUUGGAAACAGAUGCUAAUACCGCAUAAAUCCAAGAACCGCAUGGUUCUUGGCUGAAAGAUGGCGUAAGCUAUCGCUUUUGGAUGGACCCGCGGCGUAUUAGCUAGUUGGUGAGGUAACGGCUCACCAAGGCAAUGAUACGUAGCCGAACUGAGAGGUUGAUCGGCCACAUUGGGACUGAGACACGGCCCAAACUCCUACGGGAGGCAGCAGUAGGGAAUCUUCCACAAUGGACGCAAGUCUGAUGGAGCAACGCCGCGUGAGUGAAGAAGGCUUUCGGGUCGUAAAACUCUGUUGUUGGAGAAGAAUGGUCGGCAGAGUAACUGUUGUCGGCGUGACGGUAUCCAACCAGAAAGCCACGGCUAACUACGUGCCAGCAGCCGCGGUAAUACGUAGGUGGCAAGCGUUAUCCGGAUUUAUUGGGCGUAAAGCGAGCGCAGGCGGUUUUUUAAGUCUGAUGUGAAAGCCCUCGGCUUAACCGAGGAAGUGCAUCGGAAACUGGGAAACUUGAGUGCAGAAGAGGACAGUGGAACUCCAUGUGUAGCGGUGAAAUGCGUAGAUAUAUGGAAGAACACCAGUGGCGAAGGCGGCUGUCUGGUCUGUAACUGACGCUGAGGCUCGAAAGCAUGGGUAGCGAACAGGAUUAGAUACCCUGGUAGUCCAUGCCGUAAACGAUGAAUGCUAGGUGUUGGAGGGUUUCCGCCCUUCAGUGCCGCAGCUAACGCAUUAAGCAUUCCGCCUGGGGAGUACGACCGCAAGGUUGAAACUCAAAGGAAUUGACGGGGGCCCGCACAAGCGGUGGAGCAUGUGGUUUAAUUCGAAGCAACGCGAAGAACCUUACCAGGUCUUGACAUCUUUUGAUCACCUGAGAGAUCAGGUUUCCCCUUCGGGGGCAAAAUGACAGGUGGUGCAUGGUUGUCGUCAGCUCGUGUCGUGAGAUGUUGGGUUAAGUCCCGCAACGAGCGCAACCCUUAUGACUAGUUGCCAGCAUUUAGUUGGGCACUCUAGUAAGACUGCCGGUGACAAACCGGAGGAAGGUGGGGAUGACGUCAAAUCAUCAUGCCCCUUAUGACCUGGGCUACACACGUGCUACAAUGGAUGGUACAACGAGUUGCGAGACCGCGAGGUCAAGCUAAUCUCUUAAAGCCAUUCUCAGUUCGGACUGUAGGCUGCAACUCGCCUACACGAAGUCGGAAUCGCUAGUAAUCGCGGAUCAGCACGCCGCGGUGAAUACGUUCCCGGGCCUUGUACACACCGCCCGUCACACCAUGAGAGUUUGUAACACCCGAAGCCGGUGGCGUAACCCUUUUAGGGAGCGAGCCG
rnacentral:rRNA from 1 species